rnacentral:rRNA from 1 species
UACGGAGGGUGCGAGCGUUGUUCGGAAUUAUUGGGCGUAAAGCGCGUGCAGGCGGUUUGGUAAGUCUGAUGUGAAAGCCCCGGGCUCAACCUGGGAAGUGCAUUGGAAACUGCUGGACUUGAAUACGGUAGAGGGUAGUGGAAUUCCUGGUGUAGGAGUGAAAUCCGUAGAUAUCAGGAGGAACACCGGUGGCGAAGGCGGCUGCCUGGACCGAUAUUGACGCUGAGACGCGAAAGCGUGGGUAGCAAACAGGAUUAGAUACCCUGGUAGUCCACGCUGUAAACGAUGAGUACUAGGUGUUGCGGGUAUUGACCCCUGCAGUGCCGCAGCUAACGCAUUAAGUACUCCGCCUGGGAAGUACGGUCGCAAGACUAAA